rnacentral:piRNA from 1 species
UCAGCCAAAGAGACAAAGAUUCAAAAGUGCGU